rnacentral:rRNA from 1 species
GAUGAACGCUAGCGGCAGGCUUAACACAUGCAAGUCGAGGGCAGCAUGAGACGGAGAUUCGUCGAAGUCUUGAUGGCGACCGGCGCAAGGGUGCGUAACGCGUGAGCAACUUGCCCGUUUCAGGGGGAUAACCGGUGGAAACGCCGACUAAUACCCCAUAGCAUUGGUUGAGGCAUCUCUUACCAAUUAAAGAAUUUCGGAAACGGAUAGGCUCGCGUGACAUUAGCUAGAUGGCGGGUAACGCCACAUGGCUACGAUGUCUAGGGGUUCUGAGAGGAAGGUCCCCCACACUGGAACUGAGACACGGUCCAGACUCCUACGGGAGCAGCAGUGAGGAAUAUUGGGUCCAAAUGGUCUGACGACUGAACCAGCCAUGCCGCGUGAAGGUCACGGCCCU